rnacentral:rRNA from 1 species
AACGAACGCUGGCGGCAGGCCUAACACAUGCAAGUCGAGCGCCCCGCAAGGGGAGCGGCGGACGGGUGAGUAACGCGUGGGAACGUACCUUUUGCUUCGGAAUAGCCUCGGGAAACUGGGAGUAAUACCGAAUGUGCCCUACGGGGGAAAGAUUUAUCGCCAUUGGAGCAGCCCGCGUUGGAUUAGGUAGUUGGUGAGGUAAAGGCUCACCAAGCCUACGAUCCAUAGCUGGUCUGAGAGGAUGACCAGCCACACUGGGACUGAGACACGGCCCAGACUCCUACGGGAGGCAGCAGUAGGGAAUCUUGCGCAAUGGGCGAAAGCCUGACGCAGCCAUGCCGCGUGUAUGAUGAAGGUCUUAGGAUUGUAAAAUACUUUCACCGGGGAAGAUAAUGACGGUACCCGGAGAAGAAGCCCCGGCUAACUUCGUGCCAGCCGCCGCAGUAAGAC